rnacentral:tRNA from 1 species
GAGGGUGUAGCUCAGUGGUAGAGCAUGUGCUUAGCAUGUAUGAGGUCCUGGGUUCAAUCCCUAGUACCUCCA